rnacentral:rRNA from 1 species
UACAGAGGUCCCAAGCGUUGUUCGGAUUCACUGGGCGUAAAGGGUGCGUAGGUGGCGAGGUAAGUCGGAUGUGAAAGCUCGGAGCUCAACUCCGAAAUGGCAUUGGAAACUACCUUGCUCGAGGGUUGGAGGGGGGACUGGAAUGCUUGGUGUAGCAGUGAAAUGCGUAGAUAUCAAGCGGAACACCAGUGGCGAAGGCGAGUCCCUGGACAACUCCUGACACUGAGGCACGAAAGCUAGGGGAGCAAACAGGAUUAGAACC